AACGAACGCUGGCGGUGUGCUUAACACAUGCAAGUCGAACGAGAAAGUUUCCUUCGGGAAGCGAGUAAAGUGGCGCAAGGGUGAGUAACACGUGAAUAAUCUACCCUCGAGACUGGGAUAACCUGGUGAAAACUAGGCUAAUACCGGAUAAGACCACGUCCCGCAAGGGGAUGGACGGGAAAAGGAGGCUCCAACCUCCACGUUGGGGAUGAGUUCGCGGACCAUUAGCUUGUUGGUGAGAUAACAGCUCACCAAGGCUACGAUGGUUAGCCGGCCUGAGAGGGUGAACGGCCACACUGGAACUGAGACACGGUCCAGACUCCGUACGGGAGGCAGCAGGUGGGGAAUAUUGCGCAAGUGGGCGAAAGCCUGACGCAGCAACACCGCGUGAGCGAUG
rnacentral:rRNA from 1 species